rnacentral:rRNA from 1 species
UACGUAGGGUGCAAGCGUUGUCCGGAAUUAUUGGGCGUAAAGAGCUCGUAGGCGGUUUGUCGCGUCUGCUGUGAAAACUCGGGGCUUAACCCCGGGCCUGCAGUGGGUACGGGCAGACUAGAGUGCGGUAGGGGAGACUGGAAUUCCUGGUGUAGCGGUGAAAUGCGCAGAUAUCAGGAGGAACACCGGUGGCGAAGGCGGGUCUCUGGGACGUUACUGACGCUGAGACGCGAAAGCGUGGGGAGCAAACAGG